GAUGAAGAACGUAGCAAAAUGCGAUACUUGGUGUGAAUUGCAGAAUCCCGUGAACCAUCGAGUUUUUGAACGCAAGUUGCGCCCGAAGCCUUUUGGCCGAGGGCACGUCUGCCUGGGCGUCACGCAUCGCGUCGCCCCCCACAAUUCUCCGUAAAAGGAACAUGUGUUUUGGGGGCGGAUAUUGGUCUCCCGUGCUCAUGGCGUGGUUGGCCGAAAUAGGAGUCCUUUCGAUGGACGCACGAACUAGUGGUGGUCGUAAAAACCCUCGUCUUUUGUUUCGUGCUGUUGCUCGCAAGGUAAACUCUUUAAAAACCCCAAUGUGUCGUCUCUUGACGACGCUUCGACCGCGACCCCAGGUCAGGCGGGACUACCCGCUGAGUUUAAGCAUAUCAAUAAGCGGGGA
rnacentral:misc_RNA from 1 species